GGCGGGGCCCCGCCGAGGGGCUGGCUGGCCGCACGCCUGCAGCCACCCCUGGCCUGACCACUGAAGCCCUUUGCCCUGGGAGCCACUCUGGUUGACUCAGGGGCCCCCACAUGCACAGCGGCCGCCCCCCCAGACCCCGGUGCGGCAAAGUGUGUGCGCGCACGACGGGCCCCAAGGAGGCGCUGGACGGAAGGUGAUACCCUUUCGUGGAAAAAAAAAAAAGCCCCACAAGCGAAGAGCAGUCGAGCCAGGUUUGCGGCAGAGCCGACCGCUGAGCCGGAGCACAGGCCCUGGCGCCCGGGCCACCUCUGCUGACCGUCCACGGCCCGGCCUGGUCAGCGCUGUUUCAUUCCCCUGGACUUCGAAGGAGACGCAGCGUGGCCCCAGGGUCCUUGACUCACUUCUCUUGCCAUAGCUUGUGGCGAGUCACCCCAUGUCCCUCGUUCAGAACAUCAGGAGACCCGUGGCAUCCUGACCUCGUUUCCAAGAGAGGCCGCUCGAGUCGGGGCCUGUGGGCACUGCCCGCAUCUCCACGGGGGGCCAGGGCCACCAGAGCUGGCUGCUGGCCGCAGUCGACAGCACCAAGGGCCGUGCCAGAAAACCGGUUCAGCCGGGACGGCAAAUUUGUCCACACACCGGGUCGGCCGUUCCCUCCGAGAUCCACGCAGGUCCUGCGCUGGCAGCUGGGGGACGCUUGAAGGUGCGUCUGGCUCAAGGGUCCUGGGGUGUGGACGCAGGCGGGUGUCCUGCCCCUGCUCACCCUGCCUCUCAGGACAAGUCAUUCGGAGUGGGGGGGUAAGGGGGUGGCCCCUGGACCUCUGGACAGGCCUUCUCACACUGAAGGCCCCCUCGGAGGCUCGCUGCAGCCCCGCCCCCACUGGCCCCCGUGCGG